UUGAACGCUGGCGGCAUGCUUUACACAUGCAAGUCGAACGGUAACAGGCCGCAAGGUGCUGACGAGUGGCGAACGGGUGAGUAAUGCAUCGGAACGUGCCCAGUCGUGGGGGAUAACUACUCGAAAGAGUAGCUAAUACCGCAUACGAUCUAUGGAUGAAAGCGGGGGACCGUAAGGCCUCGCGCGAUUGGAGCGGCCGAUGUCAGAUUAGGUAGUUGGUGGGGUAAAGGCUCACCAAGCCAACGAUCUGUAGCUGGUCUGAGAGGACGACCAGCCACACUGGGACUGAGACACGGCCCAGACUCCUACGGGAGGCAGCAGUGGGGAAUUUUGGGCAAUGGGCGCAAGCCUGAUCCAGCAAUGCCGCGUGCAGGAAGAAGGCCUUCGGGUUGUAAACUGCUUUUGUACGGAACGAAACGGCUCUGGUUAAUACCCGGGGCUAAUGACGGUACCGUAAGAAUAAGCACCGGCUAACUACGUG
rnacentral:rRNA from 1 species